rnacentral:rRNA from 1 species
AAUAGAUACCCCGGUAGUCCACGCCGUAAACGUUGGGCGCUAGAUGUGGGGACCAUUCCACGGUUUCCGCGUCGUAGCUAACGCAUUAAGCGCCCCGCCUGGGGAGUACGGCCGCAAGGCUAAAACUCAAAGGAAUUGACGGGGGCCCGCACAAGCGGCGGAGCAUGCGGAUUAAUUCGAUGCAACGCGAAGAACCUUACCAAGGCUUGACAUAUGCGAGAACGCUCUAGAAAUAGAGAACUUUUUGGACACUCGUAUACAGGUGGUGCAUGGUUGUCGUCAGCUCGUGUCGUGAGAUGUUGGGUUAAGUCCCGCAACGAGCGCAACCCUCGUCGCAUGUUGCCAGCACGUAAUGGUGGGAACUCAUGUGAGACUGCCGGGGUCAACUCGGAGGAAGGUGGGGAUGACGUCAAAUCAUCAUGCCCCUUAUGUCUUGGGCUUCACGCAUGCUACAAUGGCCGGUACAAAGGGCUGCGAAACCGCAAGGUGGAGCGAAUCCCAAAAAGCCGGUCUCAGUUCGGAUUGAGGU